CCCAUAUCUUAUUGACUAGACGUCAUGACAUAUCAGCCCGGACGGGGUGUGCCGCCCGUGAUUUAGAGCAACCACCGCCCGUGAUUUAGAGAACCCGAUAAAAGAGACCCCCUAUAGGGAAUUUCUCUCAAAAAGCCACCCUUCUGUAGAGUUUGUUGACUGCAAAACAACCCUUUUCAGAGGUCAUCUUGGUGUAAUGCCCCUCUCCCACAGUCGUGCGACCUUUCUGCGACCGGAUUAUCGUGAAUAGACACAACUGGCAUUAUUCGAGGAAGACUCACCCACAACAUUGCCAAGCCACGAAUAAGUCAGCUUUUAAGACAAUCAUGCGAAUAUCGCAAAACGUUCCUAAGACUUUCUCACGAUUAUGCAAGAAUCAAGUCAGUAUUGGCUGUAAAAUUUGGUGACCUAUUUAUUGUC
rnacentral:rRNA from 1 species